GUGGAAAGGAGGGUGGUGAGAUUAUAUAAUCCGAGUGAGUAAACAAUCACCAUCUAAAAUAUCUAAAGCUGAGUAAAUAGAGACAGAUAAAAUAUAUUAGCAUACUGCAAUUCAUCACCUUUCAACUUGUUUCAACCAAAUAAAAUCAAUUCAUAUAAAUCGAGUAAUCAACAUGGCUUAUAAAUUUCUUAAAAGCUUUGGCUCGUGCCAAAAUCAUU
rnacentral:lncRNA from 1 species